rnacentral:misc_RNA from 1 species
AAAUGCGAUAAGUAAUGUGAAUUGCAGAAUUCAGUGAAUCAUCGAAUCUUUGAACGCACAUUACGCCCGCCAGUAUUCUGGCGGGCAUGCCUGUUCGAGCGUCAUUACAACCCUCAGGCCCCCGGGCCUGGCGUUGGGGAUCGGCGGAAGCCCCCUGCGGGCACAACGCCGUCCCCCAAAUACAGUGGCGGUCCCGCCGCAGCUUCCAUUGCGUAGUAGCUAACACCUCGCAACUGGAGAGCGGCGCGGCCACGCCGUAAAACACCCAACUUCUGAAUGUUGACCUCGAAUCAGGUAGGAAUACCCGCUGAACUUAAGC